rnacentral:rRNA from 1 species
AGCGAACGCUGGCGGCAGGCCUAACACAUGCAAGUCGAACGAAGUCUUCGGACUUAGUGGCGGACGGGUGAGUACACGUGGGAACGUGCCUUUAGGUUCGGAAUAACUCAGGAAAACUUGUGCUAAUACCGAAUGUGCCCUUCGGGGGAAAGAUUUAUCGCCUUUAGAGCGGCCCGCGUCUGAUUAGCUAGUUGGUGAGGUAAAGGCUCACCAAGGCUACGAUCAGUAGCUGGUCUGAGAGGAUGACCAGCCACAUUGGGACUGAGACACGGCCCAAACUCCUACGGGAGGCAGCAGUGGGGAAUCUUGCGCAAUGGGCGAAAGCCUGACGCAGCCAUGCCGCGUGGAUGAUGAAGGUCUUAGGAUUGUAAAAUCCUUUCACCGGUGAAGAUAAUGACUGUAGCCGGAGAAGAAGCCCCGGCUAACUUCGUGCCAGCAGCCGCCGCAGUAA